rnacentral:lncRNA from 1 species
GCCGCAGUCUGGCUGGGCACAAAUGCCGCAGUCUGGCUGGGCACACAAUCACGAGCCACCACACAGCUUGUAGAUUCAAACAGCAACUCUUUAUUCCCGAACUCACACCAGCCGUCUACAAACACGUUCUGGGGAAAUCCAUGUUCUCUGCCCAAAUCCACAUCCACUGGGCUUCUAUCUCCCAAAAAAUACUGUCUGAAUCCCGUGAGAACUCAAGGGGAACUCAGGCAGCAGGAUACGCCCUAUUCCCAGC